rnacentral:tRNA from 1 species
UGGGAUGUAGCCAAGUGGUAAGGCAGGGGACUUUGACUCCUCCAUGCGUAGGUUCGAUCCCUACCAUCCCAACCA